rnacentral:rRNA from 1 species
GGCUUUUUGAGUGUAAAUAGCUCUAAGAAUAAGAGCUGGGUAAGACAGGUGCCAGCAGCCGCGGUAAUACCUGCAGCUCAAGUGGUCUGGAUUUUUAUUGGGUCUAAAGCGUUUGUAGCCGGACUCGCAAGUCUUCUGUGAAAUCUGACGGCUUAACCGUCAGGCUGCAGGGGAAACUACAAGUCUAGGGACCGGGAAGGGCCAAAGAUACUCUAGGGGUAGGGGUGAAAUCCAAUAAUCCUUAGGGGAUCGCCAGUGGCGAAGGCGUUUGGCUAGAACGGGUCCGACGGUGAGGGACGAAAGCUAGGGGAGCGAACGGGAUUAGAUACCCCGGUAGUCCCAGCCGUAAAUGAUGUGGACUAGGUGUUGCAUUCCCCUUUGGGAAUGCAGUGCCGAAGGGAAGCCGUUAAGUUCACCACCUGGGAAGUACGGUCGCAAGGCCGAAACUUAAAGGA